GACGAACGCUGGCGGCGUGCUUAACACAUGCAAGUCGAACGGAAAGGCCCUGCUUUUGUGGGGUUCUCGAGUGGCGAACGGGUGAGUAACACGUGAGUAACCUGCCCUUGACUUUGGGAUAACUUCAGGAAACUGGGGCUAAUACCGGAUAGGAGCUCCUGCUGCAUGGUGGGGGUUGGAAAGUUUCGGCGGUUGGGGAUGGACUCGCGGCUUAUCAGCUUGUUGGUGGGGUAGUGGCUUACCAAGGCUUUGACGGGUAGCCGGCCUGAGAGGGGGACCGGCGACCUGAGGACUAGGAGAGGCCGCAGUAUCGUAGGGGGGGCAGUGGGGGAAAAUUUUACAGAGUGGCGGGGCGUGUGAGGUGAAGGCGGCGGGAUCGGAAAACCGGCUUGCGGGGGGAGAACAGAUGUGGCCGGAAAGGAGCAGAGCGUGACGGUAACGAAUAAGAAAGCCCCGGCUAACUACGUG
rnacentral:rRNA from 1 species